CGUGAAGUUGGAAUCGCUAGUAAUCGCGGAUCAGCAUGCCGCGGUGAAUACGUUCCCGGGCCUUGUACACACCGCCCGUCACACCAUGAGAGUCGGGAACACCCGAAGUCCGUAGUCUAACAGCAAUGGGGCGCGGCCGAAGGUGGGUUCGAUAAUUGGGGUGAAGUCGUAACAAGGUACC
rnacentral:rRNA from 1 species